CCUACGGGAGGCAGCAGUAGGGAAUAUUGCACAAUGGGGGAAACCCUGAAGCAGCGACGCCGCGUGAGGGAUGAAGGAUUUCGGUUUGUAAAGCCCUUUUGGUAGGGAAGAAAAUGACGGUACCUGACGAAUAAGCACCGGCUAACUACGUGCCAGCAGCCGCGGUAAUACGGAGGGUGCAAGCGUUAUUCGGAUUAACUGGGCGUAAAGAGCGCGUAGGCGGGAUAGCAAGUCAGAUGUGAAAUCCUAUGGCUUAACCAUAGAACUGCAUUUGAAACUGUUAUUCUAGAGUAUAGGAGAGGUAGGCGGAAUUCUUGGUGUAGCGGUGAAAUGCGUAGAUAUUAAGAGGAACACUCAUUGCGAAGGCGGCCUGCUAGACUAUAACUGACGUUGAUGCGCGAAAGCGUGGGGAGCAAACAGGAUUAGAUACCCCUGUAGUC
rnacentral:rRNA from 1 species